AACGAACGCUGGCGGCAGGCUUAACACAUGCAAGUCGAACGCAUCCUUCGGGGUGAGUGGCAGACGGGUGAGUAACGCGUGGGAACGUGCCCUUCAGUUCGGGAUAACCCAGGGAAACUUGGGCUAAUACCGGAUACGUGCGAGAGCAGAAAGAUUUAUCGCUGGAGGAUCGGCCCGCGUCUGAUUAGCUAGUUGGUGGGGUAAUGGCCCACCAAGGCGACGAUCAGUAGCUGGUCUGAGAGGAUGAUCAGCCGCAUUGGGACUGAGACACGGACCAACCUCCUACGGGAGGCGGCAGUGGGUAAUAUAGGAUAAUGGGCGCAAGCCUGAACCAGCGAUGCCGAGUGAGUGAUGAAGGCCUUAGGGUUGUAAAGCUCUUUCGUCCGGGACGAUAAUGACGGUACCGGAAGAAGAAGCCCCGGCUAACUUCGUGCCAGCAGCCGCCGUAA
rnacentral:rRNA from 1 species